ensembl:miRNA
AGUAGAGAUGGGGUUUCACUAUGUUGGUCAGGCUGGUCUUGAAUUCCUGACCUCAGGUGAUCCACCCACC